rnacentral:rRNA from 1 species
GACAGAGGGUGCAAACGUUGUUCGGAAUUACUGGGCGUAAAGCGUGUGUAGGCGGUUCGAAAAGUCGGAUGUGAAAGCCCCGGGCUCAACCCGGGAAGUGCACUCGAUACUGUCGAACUUGAGUCUCGGAGAGGUUGGUAGAAUUCUCGGUGUAGAGGUGAAAUUCGUAGAUAUCGAGAGGAAUACCGGCGGCGAAGGCGGCCAACUGGACGAAGACUGACGCUGAGACACGAAAGCGUGGGGAGCAAACAGG